GACGAACGCUGGCGGCGUGCUUAACACAUGCAAGUCGAACGGAAAGGCCCUGCUUUUGUGGGGUGCUCGAGUGGCGAACGGGUGAGUAACACGUGAGUAACCUGCCCUUGACUUUGGGAUAACUUCAGGAAACUGGGGCUAAUACCGGAUAGGAGCUCCUGCUGCAUGGUGGGGGUUGGAAAGUUUCGGCGGUUGGGGAUGGACUCGCGGCUUAUCAGCUUGUUGGUGGGGUAGUGGCUUACCAAGGCUUUGACGGGUAGCCGGCCUGAGAGGGUGACCGGCCACAUUGGGACUGAGAUACGGACCAGACGCCUACGGGAGGCAGCAGUGGGGAAUAUUGCACAAUGGGCGGAAGCCUGAGGCAGCAACGCCGCGUGCGGGAUGACGGCCUUCGGGUUGUAAACCGCUUUCGCCUGUGACGAAGCGUGAGUGACGGUAAUGGGUAAAGAAGCACCGGCUAACUACGUG
rnacentral:rRNA from 1 species